AGCGAACGCUGGCGGCAGGCUUAACACAUGCAAGUCGAACGGGCAUCUUCGGAUGUCAGUGGCAGACGGGUGAGUAACACGUGGGAACGUACCCUUCGGUUCGGAAUAACUCAGGGAAACUUGAGCUAAUACCGGAUACGCCCUUUUGGGGAAAGGUUUACUGCCGAAGGAUCGGCCCGCGUCUGAUUAGCUUGUUGGUGGGGUAACGGCCUACCAAGGCGACGAUCAGUAGCUGGUCUGAGAGGAUGAUCAGCCACACUGGGACUGAGACACGGCCCAGACUCCUACGGGAGGCAGCAGUGGGGAAUAUUGGACAAUGGGCGCAAGCCUGAUCCAGCCAUGCCACGUGAGUGAUGAAGGCCUUAGGGUUGUAAAGCUCUUUUGUCCGGGACGAUAAUGACGGUACCGGAAGAAUAAGCCCCGGCUAACUUCGUG
rnacentral:rRNA from 1 species